ACUCCUACGGGAGGCAGCAGUGGGAAUAUUGGACAAUGGGGGAACCCGUAGCAUCCAGCCAUGCCGCGUGUGUGAAGAAGGCCUUCGGGUUGUAAAGCACUUUCAGUGGGGAGGAAAGGUUGCAGGUUAAUACCCUGUAGCUGUGACGUUACCCACAGAAGAAGCACCGGCUAACUCCGUGCCAGCAGCCGCGGUAAUACGGAGGGUGCAAGCGUUAAUCGGAAUUACUGGGCGUAAAGCGUGCGCAGGCGGUCUGUUAAGCGAGAUGUGAAAGCCCC
rnacentral:rRNA from 1 species